rnacentral:rRNA from 1 species
GACGAACGCUGGCGGCGUGCUUAACACAUGCAAGUCGAACGGAAAGGCCCUGCUUUUGUGGGGUGCUCGAGUGGCGAACGGGUGAGUAACACGUGAGUAACCUGCCCUUGACUUUGGGAUAACUUCAGGAAACUGGGGCUAAUACCGGAUAGGAGCUCCUGCUGCAUGGUGGGGGUUGGAAAGUUUCGGCGGUUGGGGAUGGACUCGCGGCUUAUCAGCUUGUUGGUGGGGUAGUGGCUUACCAAGGCUUUGACGGGUAGCCGGCCUGAGAGGGUGAUCGGCCACAUUGGGACUGAGAUACGGCCCAGACUCCUACGGGAGGCAGCAGUGGGGGAUAUUGCACAAUGGGCGGAAGCCUGAUGCAGCAACGCCGCGUGCGGGAUGACGGCCUUCGGGUUGUAAACCGCUUUCGCCUGUGACGAAGCGUGAGUGACGGUAAUGGGUAAAGAAGCACCGGCUAACUACGUG